GAUGAAGAACGCAGCGAAAUGCGAUACUUGGUGUGAAUUGCAGAAUCCCGUGAACCAUCGAGUCUUGAACGCAAGUUGCGCCCGAAGCCAUCAGGUUGAGGGCACGUCUGCCUGGGCGUCACAUAUCGUUGCCCAAUGCCUAUUGCAGUGCAAUAGGAAUUUCUAGGGCGAAUGAUGGCUUCCCGUGAGCGUUGUUGCCUCGCGGUUGGUUGAAAAUCGAGUCCUUGGUAGGGUGUGCCAUGGUAGAUGGUGGUCGAGUUAGAACGAUACCGAUCAUGUGCAUGCUCCCCAAAAUAUGGCCUCUAUGACCCACACGCGUCUUUUGACGCUCAUGACGAGACCUCAGGUCAGGCGGGGCUACCCGCUGAAUUUAAGCAUAUCAAUAAGCGGAGGA
rnacentral:misc_RNA from 1 species